UUUCUGAAAGCUAGGUUACUGGGAGUUUAUAGAGAUCCGACCGUGGCGCUUUCGCUCUCCUCUCAGACGCUCCAGAUCUAGACUAGGUGAACGCGAUGCUAUGGAGGGACAAAACGCUGGAGCGCGCGGGCGGAAAGCUUGUCUUGGCGGGAUUAGGGCUCUGGAGUCGGGCCCGGCCCGGCAGUCCCCUGAGCUUGAGAGAAUUGAAUGCCUCCUCAAUUGUCACCUAGGCUGAUCUUGCACAGCCUGUUGGCUUCUCGUAGAGUUUGAGUUUUGGACAGUAGGAUGGCUGCAUCGCCCAGACAGGAGAAGAAAAAGAGGAGCCUGCUGGAGAAGUUCUGGAGAAAUUUUUUUUUUUUUUUAUGGUUUACUGAACAUGUGAAGGGAGGUAUUCUUUCUGCCUUGCCCACGUUAUGUUCAGGAAGCAGGCUUGGGAAUGAACCCUGGAGCUGAGACAACUAUCCUGAAACUAUAACAAGCCAGAAGAAUAAAUAAACCCCAGUUUCUUGCAUCCUGGGUGAUGUAUUUAGUGAAUAGCCUAGGGGGCCGAACAAUCUGCAUUAAAGCUUGCUGAAGAUAUGUGAGACAGAGACAACUGGGAUUGUGGCAGCUCUCCAAAAAGGAUGUCAUGCCCGGUGAAAGCAGACAAAGUCAAAUAGAGUGGAGUUCUGGUUUGUAUUUUUGUUUUUAUCAGACAACCUCAGUGUAUAGCCUAUGACUUUCUUUAAACUGGUGUUUCUCUGAGCCCUCUGAGUACUAGGAAUGCAGGUAUGCACUGUCGGGUUGAGGUACAUUUCUAAUAUAAAAUAAACCUGUAAUGCUUUACGUAACACUAAAAAUAAAAGGCCAUUUUGUACA